AAGUCGAGCGGUAAGGCCCUUCGGGGUACACGAGCGGCGAACGGGUGAGUAACACGUGGGUGAUCUGCCUCGUACUCUGGGAUAAGCCUGGGAAACUGGGUCUAAUACCGGAUAUGACCACGAAUCGCAUGGUUUGUGGUGGAAAGAUUUAUCGGUGCGAGAUGGGCCCGCGGCCUAUCAGCUUGUUGGUGGGGUAAUGGCCUACCAAGGCGACGACGGGUAGCCGGCCUGAGAGGGCGACCGGCCACACUGGGACUGAGACACGGCCCAGACUCCUACGGGAGGCAGCAGUGGGGAAUAUUGCACAAUGGGCGGAAGCCUGAUGCAGCGACGCCGCGUGAGGGAUGACGGCCUUCGGGUUGUAAACCUCUUUCGACAGGGACGAAGCGCAAGUGACGGUACCUGUAGAAGAAGCACCGGCCAACUACGUGCCAGCAGCCGCGGUAAUACGUAGGGUGCGAGCGUUGUCCGGAAUUACUGGGCGUAAAGAGCUUGUAGGCGGUUCGUCGCGUCGAUCGUGAAAACUUGCAGCUCAACUGCGAGCUUGCGGUCGAUACGGGCGGACUAGAGUACUGCAGGGGAGACUGGAAUUCCUGGUGUAGCGGUGAAAUGCGCAGAUAUCAGGAGGAACACCGGUGGCGAAGGCGGGUCUCUGGGCAGUAACUGACGCUGAGAAGCGAAAGCGUGGGUAGCGAACAGGAUUAGAUACCCUGGUAGUCCACGCCGUAAACGGUGGGCGCUAGGUGUGGGUUUCCUUCCACGGGAUCCGUGCCGUAGCUAACGCAUUAAGCGCCCCGCCUGGGGAGUACGGCCGCAAGGCUAAAACUCAAAGGAAUUGACGGGGGCCCGCACAAGCGGCGGAGCAUGUGGAUUAAUUCGAUGCAACGCGAAGAACCUUACCUGGGUUUGACAUACACCAGAAAGCUGCAGAGAUGUAGCCCCCCUUGUGGUUGGUGUACAGGUGGUGCAUGGCUGUCGUCAGCUCGUGUCGUGAGAUGUUGGGUUAAGUCCCGCAACGAGCGCAACCCUUGUCCUGUGUUGCCAGCGCGUUAUGGCGGGGACUCGCAGGAGACUGCCGGGGUCAACUCGGAGGAAGGUGGGGACGACGUCAAGUCAUCAUGCCCCUUAUGUCCAGGGCUUCACACAUGCUACAAUGGCCGGUACAGAGGGCUGCGAUACCGUGAGGUGGAGCGAAUCCCUUAAAGCCGGUCUCAGUUCGGAUCGGGGUCUGCAACUCGACCCCGUGAAGUUGGAGUCGCUAGUAAUCGCAGAUCAGCAACGCUGCGGUGAAUACGUUCCCGGGCCUUGUACACACCGCCCGUCACGUCAUGAAAGUCGGUAACACCCGAAGCCGGUGGCCUAACCCUUGUGGAGGGAGCCG
rnacentral:rRNA from 1 species